GUGGGUAAAAUAAUGGUUGCCUUUUGUAAGGCGGUCAAAGCUGGACGUCAACACCCGCACGCUGGCCUCCUACGACCUGAUCAAAUGCCGCCUCCUCCCCGCCGUCAUGCUGCGUAUCCGCCGCCUCGCAGCCUGCCGGGAGCUCACGGUCAGCUCACACGGUAUCCGUGGCUGGAGGAGCCGCCUUUAUCGACCCGGGGUUACGGGGGUGUGCCGGUGGGUAUUCAGCCGGCUGGAGCAGGUAGCGGACGCUCGGAGAAGGUUCAUGUUUUGGGGUCAGAAUCAGCGAAUGUUCUGCUCGCAGCCCGGAGCUGAAGACCCGGGAGGAGAGAGCUCCGGCCGGCAGCCAGACAUCUCGGUUGUCGGCAUCCCGGAUCCGCUUACUUGGAUCCGGUGUAAAGUGAUCUUCUUCCUCCUUGAGCUCUACUUCGACCUGGAUGUCAACUCUGAGGACUUUGAAAGAGGCGUAAAGCAGGCAGUGGUCCAUGUCUCCAGCUUGAUGUCCAAAGGCAAAUACUUUCAACUCAUCGGGGUCGUGUCCACUGAAAUGAUCAGGUACAUUGAGGAGAAGUGUCAGCCUCUCUCAGAGCGUCAGAGGCAGCAUCUCUCCGUCUCCAUGGAAGAUAUUUUGUUUGUCCUCCCAGAAGACGUAUCAGUGGUCUAUGAUGCUGAUGGUCGAAAGUUUUGCAUCGUCGUCAUGAGACUUUGGCACCUGUCCUCACACGAAGGCCCCGACGACCCUGAAGGCAGCAGAAUAUUUCAAGUGGCCCCCAGCAGAGAUGGUGUCCCUCAGAAGAAAAUAGCGACAGCCGUCUAUGAGUUCCAUCGGGAGUUGACAUGCAGCGCAUCUUUGGGCUGGACCGUAACCACAGUUUGGCACUGGACCUGGAACCCGAGUCAAUCUGAGUGACGGAACGUCAUCAGACUAAAAGCAGGGAGAGGAUUGGAAAUCUGGACCCAAAACCUCAAAAUCCUCUGGUCAUGCCACAGCAUCUCAAUAGGAUUCAGGUCAGGACUUGGACUAGACCACUCCAAAGUCUUCAUCCAUUCAGAGGUGGACUUGCUGGUGUGUUUUGGAUCAUUGUCCUGCUGCAGAACCCAAGUUGCUUUCAGCUUGAGGUCACCAACAAAUGGCCGGACAUUCUCCUUCAGCACAAUUCAUGCUUCCAUUCAUCACAGCAAGUCUUCCAAGUCCUGAAGGAGCAAAACGGCCAUGACGGUCAUCACACUACCACCACCAUAUUUUACUGUUGCUAUGAUGUUCUUUUUCUGAAAUGUGGUGUUACUUUUAUGCCAGAUGUAAUGGGACACGCACCUUCCAAAAAGUUCACCUUUUGUCUCAUCACACCACAGAGUAUUUUCCCAAAGGUCUUGGGGAGUAUUAUUCAGCUGAUUUCAUAAGCUCAGGAGGAAUUUGUUACAUUUUGGUGCAAAUCAGGAUAAAAAUGCAGGUGGGGGAAUUGUUUAUGUUUAUUGUUUACGUCUUAUGUCAUCGGCAUUGAAAAAGGAAGUGACCUGCCAAAUAAUAAUAAAUGCAAAGACAAACAACCCAAAACUUUGUUUUCCAUUUAAAUCACAAUGGAAGCGUCCCCCACUUACCCCCUACUCAAUAAUGGUAUGGUCCCGUUAUCUUAUCCUUUAUGACGUGCACUAAUGUGACUCCCCACAAUAUAUUUUUCAAACUUUUGUUUCGCUUGCAGUUUGAGUUACAUGGAAGUUAUAUGACGGAAUUGUAUAAUUUCCAUAACAGGCAUUUGCAAAAAGCGAAAAUGUGAAAAGCAAACCAAUUAUGUUUAGAAGUACAGUAAUCCCUCCUUUAUCUCUGUUAAUUGGUUCCAGAGCGGACUGCGAUAAGAGAAUUUUUGCCGAGUAAGAUUCCUGAUUUUUAAUUAGAAUAUACUGUAUUUGUAGAGUUUACAACCUUCUAAAUUACAUUGGUUUUUAACAUUAUUAGAGCCCUCUAGACAUGAAAUAACACCCCUAGAGUCACCUUUACACUCCUUUCCUGGUACACUUCACCACAAUGCGGUUCAGAUUUCACGGCUUCACUCUAUCCCAGUUUUUCAAACAUAUCAAUUAAUAAAUCAUGCUGUAGAGCAGUGGUUCUUAACCUUGUUGGAGGUACCGAACCCCACCAAUUUCAUAUGCCCAUUCACCAAACCCUUCUUUACUGAAAAAUAAAAUAUAAUUU